GCGCCCUUAGCUCAGUUGGACAGAGCAACGGCCUUCUAAGCCGUGGGUCGCAGGUUCGAGUCCUGCAGGGCGUGCCA
rnacentral:tRNA from 1 species